UGGUGGAGUGAUUUGUCUGGUUAAUUCCGUUAACGAACGAGACCUCGACCUGCUAGUUAGUUCAGCGAAGGCUUCGGCCUUCGUCCUGUGACUUCUUAGAGGGACUAUCGGUGUGUAGCCGAUGGAAGUUCGAGGCAAUAACA
rnacentral:rRNA from 1 species